rnacentral:lncRNA from 1 species
GCUUUGUAAACAAGAAUAUAUAUGAGAGAUGUUUCCUCCUGUAUCAAGUUUCCGUUCCAAGCACCACAUGCUCUCUUUUGCAGAGGAAAACAGACUCUUUCUGCAGGUGGCUUAACUUACUGUUGUUAUGCAUAGAGCUGUGGAAGAAUGUUGCCUUCAUUCCACGAGAAUCCUGGCCACGGAGAAGAGCUGAGAACUGUUAAAUAUGGAAGCAUCUAAAGGAAAACUGGAAACUGCAGUGGUACAUGAACAAUUCACAGGGCUACUGAAGCACAAAGCUGUUAAAAAUGUGAGUUCCCACUGGCAUUGUAGAAAAAUCCAUUUCACAUUUUUAAGGUGGGGUACAAUUUCCAAGGCACUGCCACAUGUUUGCUUUUGAUGCAUGAAGCCUAAGGAGCAGUCUCCUUUUCUGAUGUGAGAACAUGGACUUGCCAUUGGAAACCCUGGAUCUCAGUCAAAGGUGAGAGGAAUCAGGAAUUUCAGAGUCACUACAAUGCAUUUGUAAAGAUGGUGUUAGCAAGAGGUGCAGUGGGAUUAGCUGGUGUCUUAAAAAAUGGACAGAAAUUGGUCAUUGGAGGCAAUAGCAAAACAGGGAAGAGAAUGAAGG